rnacentral:rRNA from 1 species
CAAUAGCGUAUAUUAAUGUUGUUGCAGUUAAAAGCUCGUAGUCGGAUUUUGGGAGCAUGUUGCACUGUCUGCCGAUUGGUAUGUACGGUUUAACGGCUUCAUUCCUUGACAAAACUCUGGUGGGCCUUCAUUGGUCUACUUGUUGGGUUGUCGUCUUUUACUUUGAAAAAUUAGAGUGUUCAAAGCAGGCCUAUGCUCUGAAUAGGUUAGCAUGGAAUAAUAGAAUAGGACUUUGGUUCUAUUUUGUUGGUUUCUAGACCGAACGUAAUAGAUUAAUAGGGACGAGUUGGGGGUCGGAUUUUUAUUUCCUACUUGUUCAGAGGUGGAAAUUACUUUGGUAGUU